rnacentral:rRNA from 1 species
UCCGCCUGGGGAGUACGGUCGCAAGAUUAAAACUCAAAGGAAUUGACGGGGACCCGCCCAAGUAGCGGAGCAUGUGGUUUAAUUCGAAGCAACGCGAAGAACCUUACCUACACUUGACAUCCCUUGCAUUACUCUUAAUCGAGGAAAUCCCUUCGGGGACAAGGUGACAGGUGGUGCAUGGUUGUCGUCAGCUCGUGUCGUGAGAUGUUGGGUUAAGUCCCGCAACGAGCGCAACCCUUGUCGUUAGUUACUACCAUUAAGUUGAGGACUCUAGCGAGACUGCCUGGGUUAACCAGGAGGAAGGUGGGGAUGACGUCAAAUCAUCAUGCCCCUUAUGUGUAGGGCUACACACGUGCUACAAUGGCUGGUACAGAGAGAUGCAAUACCGUGAGGUGGAGCCAAACUUUAAAACCAGUCUCAGCUCGGAUUGUAGGCUGAAACUCGCCUACAUGAAGCUGGAGUUACUAGUAAUCGCGAAUCAGAAUGUCGCGGUGAAUACGUUCCCGGGUCUUGUACACACCGCCCGUCACACCAUGAGAGUUGGCAAUACCCGAAGUCCGUGAGCUAACCGCAAGGAGGCAGCGGCCGAAGGUAGGGUCAGCGAUUGGGGUGAAGUCGUAACA